UCCCACAACAAAGAAGCAGUGAACUUAAA
rnacentral:piRNA from 1 species